GACGAACGCUGGCGGCGUGCUUAACACAUGCAAGUCGGACGGAAAGGCCCUGCUUUUGUGGGGUGCUCGAGUGGCGAACGGGUGAGUAACACGUGAGUAACCUGCCCUUGACUUUGGGAUAACUUCAGGAAACUGGGGCUAAUACCGGAUAGGAGCUCCUGCUGCAUGGUGGGGGUUGGAAAGUUUCGGCGGUUGGGGAUGGACUCGCGGCUUAUCAGCUUGUUGGUGGGGUAGUGGCUGACCAAGGCUUUGACGGGUAGCCGGCCUGAGAGGGUGACCGGCCACAUGGGGACUGAGAGAGGGACCAGACUCCAACGGGAGGCAGCAGUGGGGAAUAUUGCACAAUGGGCGGAAGCCUGAUGCAGCAACGCCGCGUUCGUGAAGACGGCCUGCGGGUUGUAAACCGCUUUCGCCUGUGACGAAGCGGGAGUGACGGUAAUGGGUAAAGAAGCACCGGCUAACUACGUG
rnacentral:rRNA from 1 species